rnacentral:rRNA from 1 species
UUCCGGUUGAUCCUGCCGGAAGUUACUGCUAUCGAGGUUCGACUAAGCCAUGCGAGUCGAAUGUAGCAAUACAUGGCGAACUGCUCAGUAACACGUGGACAACCUGCCCUUAGGACGGGGAUAAACCCGGGAAACUGGGUAUAAUACCCGAUAGGUCUCGAUUGCUGGAAUGCAUCGAGAUUUAAAGCUCCGGCGCCUAAGGAUGGGUCUGCGGCCUAUCAGGUAGUAGUGGGUGUAGCGUACCUACUAGCCUACGACGGGUACGGGUUGUGAGAGCAAGAGCCCGGAGAUGGAUUCUGAGACACGAAUCCAGGCCCUACGGGGUGCAGCAGGCGCGAAAACUUUACAAUGCUGGCAACAGCGAUAAGGGAACCUCGAGUGCCAGGUUACAAAUCUGGCUGUCGAGAUGCCUAAAAAGCAUUUCAUAGCUUGGGCCGGGCAAG